GGGGGCGAUCUGGAUUCGACGCUGGUUACGAAACCCAAGGUGCAUGCCGAGAGGGUAGUGACUCUCGUAAAUCAAUCGCUGUAACUUUUAUAGUUGCCAACGACGAAAACUACGCAUUAGCCGCUUAAACUAAAAAAUUCGUUUUUUAGAAUAAGUUAAGCUUGACUCGGGGCGGAUGUGCCCAU
rnacentral:tmRNA from 1 species